ACAAAAAAUGUAUCAAAAUGUAUCGAAAAUUAAGUAAUCUUUGCGGUAUGUCCAUCGCAAGCGUUGAUAUCGCGAUAACGAUAGAUUUUAGAUAUAUCGUGC